rnacentral:rRNA from 1 species
ACGGCUCAGUAACACGUCGGUAACCUACCCUCGGGAGGGGGAUAACCCCGGGAAACUGGGGCUAAUUCCCCAUAGGCCUGAGGUACUGGAAGGUCCUCAGGCCGAAAGGGACUUAUGCCCGCCCGAGGAUGGGCCGGCGGCCGAUUAGGUAGUUGGUGGGGUAAUGGCCCACCAAGCCGAAGAUCGGUACGGGCUGCGAGAGCAGGAGCCCGGAGAUGGACACUGAGACACGGGUCCAGGCCCUACGGGGCGCAGCAGGCGCGAAACCUCCGCAAUGCGGGAAACCGCGACGGGGGGACCCCGAGUGCCGUGGCAACGCCACGGCUUUUCCGGAGUGUAAAAAGCUCCGGGAAUAAGGGCUGGGCAAGGCCGGUGGCAGCCGCCGCGGUAAUACCGGCGGCCCGAGUGGUGGCCGCUAUUAUUGGGCCUAAAGCGUCCGUAGCCGGGCCCGUAAGUCCCUGGCGAAAUCCCACGGCUCAACCGUGGGGCUUGCUGGGGAUACUGCGGGUCUUGGGACCGGGAGAGGCGGGGGGUACCCCUGGGGUAGGGGUGAAAUCCUAUAAUCCCAGGGGGACCGCCAGUGGCGAAGGCGCCCCGCUGGAACGGGUCCGACGGUGAGGGACGAAGGCCAGGGGAGCAAACCGGAUUAGAUACCCGGGUAGUCCUGGCUGUAAAGGAUGCGGGCUAGGUGUCGGGUGAGCCUCGAGCUCGCCCGGUGCCGUAGGGAAGCCGUUAAGCCCGCCGCCUGGGGAGUACGGCCGCAAGGCUGAAACUUAAAGGAAUUGGCGGGGGAG